UGGCACCCAUAAGGCGGCUGAAUAGAAUGCAAAUAUAUGACUUAGGCAUGGGAGAUUAGCAAUGGAAAAGUCAGAGAGUUGAGAAAUAACAAAAACCGCAGGAAAUCGGAGACGGAACGAAUUAGUAUUAGUGCUAGAAGGGUAUUACGAGUAACUCCGUCUAUCGCAAAACGCCCCCUCGUCGGCGGGGCAAAGCGGUCGUCGCGACGAUAAGGGAAGAACAAUGAAGCAAAAUUAAGCAAAUAAAUAACAAUUUAGUUGCUGUUGCUGUGAAUCAAAUAUAAUUAUAUAGUGCACAAUAGAGGAGGCGGAGGUGCCGAGAGAAGAAAGAGCACAAGAUGAGACGAGAAAUUGAAUAUGCCUGCAUCGAAAGAGAAUGGAUAGAGAAGAGAGCAAGAGAGGGUGCAAUGAAAUUGCUUUAUCUGGAUGAUAUUCCUCAUGUUCCCGCAGUCCCUCGGAUGCAGGUAGCCGGAUAAGCGAGCAACGGAGAGAGGGGGUGAAGACAUUGUUGACUUCAUUCUCUUCGUUCGAUUGCAACGGUUCUAUGCCACCAUUUUGUGGUGUUCUCCGAAGAACAAACUAAGGUCAGACGGAGCAAUAGCCACCAAAAGAACCACGACCAACGGCUAAGGCCUGAUAAAUCUAGAUAAUUCUAGUAUUUGCUGUUUUUGCAUUACACACCGAACAGACAAACACACGUUUGUUUUUAACUAUUCCACAGAUAAAAGCUACAACAACACACCAUCAGCGGGUUACGUGCGCGUACAAGCGAGACAGCCAAACCAAAGGAAAUAUAAAUAAUUCGCGAUGAAUAAGCAAAUUGAACAAAGGCUUCCAGUGCGACGCAGUUUUCUGCUGAAACUGACACUAAUUUUAGAGCACGAAUAUGGAAUAACUGAAAGACUCCAAUGUCGGUGGAUGGCUUGUAAUUAUAAACAUAUACCUAACGUUUAAUUUUACUCAAAAUAAAAAGUUCAAUAUAUGAAAA